CCCUGCCAAGAAUGUGGUUCAUACCAAGGAGGGACUGGUGAGGCACUAGGAAAAGGCCGUGUUUCUAGGGCAUUCUGUGCAAAGUCUGGGUCAGUUUCUCUCUGGAAGCAGCUAUGAGCGCAUGCGGAGAACUUUAAACAACCUCAGAUUCCUGAUACUCCAGCAUAGCAGCAAUGUCCCUAGUCCUGAGCUUCCUAGAAGGGCUCUAACACUGGCUUCCUGAAGAAAGAAAUAAGGGCAAUCAAUCAACUGCUGUGAGUUGGCUGUGGGGCUCACCCUAAGAAGUACAGAGAGCUAUAAAUCUUCAUGAGCUGCUGAAUGCCACCGGCCUUCAACAGAGCUCACCAUCAGCAUGCCUACACACAGCCAGUUAGAAAACAGAGUAACAGGUAGAAUGAAGACCAAAUCGGGUGCCUCUGACUCUAAGGACAGGGAUGCUCAGGAGUGAAGGGAAGAAGAACUGUGGCUGCAGUGGAUACGGAGGGGCCUGGAGAAAAUGUGGGGUCUGGCUGGACUUGAAAGCUGGAGCCCAGAUUUGGGGAUGUCCUGCUAAACUCAAGCCCAUGAGGUUACUGUUCUAUCUCCACAAACUCCACCCCCAGGACCAGACUUCUCUUCGAGGUUCCCUGUGGGUCCAGGAGCAGUGUGCCUUCCCCAGAUCUUUCUGAGGGCCCUUUGGUUUCUGGUUGAUGGUUUGCUCUCCCACCACUAUACACUGGUGUCACUCCCAGUGCCUCUGGGAAUCCCUGCAGCAACUGGCUUCUCCAUACAGUGGGGCAAUCCAUCUGCAUCCCAGCCCCCUUUGUGAUUGAUUAGCCUGUCUGACCACAUCAUUUAUUCAUUUCACCAGAGCCCUCAAACAUUCAGUCAUGGAUGGUAUGUUGUUAUGCACACCCUCUGCUGAGUGCUUUGACCAUAUUAACUCAUUUAUCUGCACAUCAGUCCUCUCAUUCCCAUUUCACAAACGAGGAACUUGAGGCCCGGAGGGGGUAAGUAACUUGCUCCUGGGCCACUCUGCUGGUAACAGACAAAGCUGGGAUUCUAUCCCAAGGUGAUAAGACCCCAGAACUCCUAAUGGGAGCCUCCAGCAGGGCACCUGACUUGGGAGGAUCGGGGAAGGUUUCCAGAAGCAGCUGAGACCCAAAGGAUGAAGAGUUAGAUAGGGAAGGUGUGAUAACAACGUGCCAGGCAAGAUGCUAGGAAGGAAACAACUAAGCCAAGGAGAGUAUCUGCCCUGGUUCUCUAUUCCAUGAUUAAUCUUAUCUUGAGCAGAAAAUUAUUUACCUUCCUUGCUAAGACUUUGCUCCUCUUUAUGUUUGGGUACCUUUACUGCAAAUAAAAGCUUUCACAUUUUCUCCUUCA